UACGAAGGGGGCUAGCGUUGCUCGGAAUCACUGGGCGUAAAGGGUGCGUAGGCGGGUCUUUAAGUCAGGGGUGAAAUCCUGGAGCUCAACUCUGGAACUGCCUUUGAUACUGUCGAUCUGGAGUAUGGAAGAGGUGAGUGGAAUUCCGAGUGUAGAGGUGAAAUUCGUAGAUAUUCGGAGGAACACCAGUGGCGAAGGCGGCUCACUGGUCCAUUACUGACGCUGAGGCACGAAAGCGUGGGGAGCAAGCAGG
rnacentral:rRNA from 1 species